rnacentral:lncRNA from 1 species
AACCCAAACCAAAAAAAAAUUCGAAAGGCCUAAGUUUUUCUACAUUGUAAGAAGUUUCUCAUGAAAAAGUAAACUUUGUUUAGUUCACUAUAAAAACCAAAAAAAUUUCAACAUUCCCCAUCACAUCGAAUCUUGCGGCAUAUGUAUAGAGCAUUAAAUCUAUCCCUAAUACUAAAGAGGCAAAAUUUCAGCCUUUUUUUCAUCUAGAUUUUAUUUUCGUCUGGCCUUCCUAGCUUCUUAUAUGGACCGGUGGAGAUUGGUUAAAAAUUUGCUUUCGAAUCCAACAAGAAUCGGAGCAAACAGAGAUGAAAAAAACUAGAGUUCUGGUGCAGUACGUGGAUCUUUUUCGUGUUCCAUUAGAAUUCAGAAUCAAAAAUAGAAAGCGAGAUCAGAGAACUAAAUCAAGACCAUCACGAUUUAAAUCGAGACCAAAAUACUCCUUCCCAAACCAGAUGUGGAUUCCAGAUCCAGACUGAGUCCAAAACAAAUUCACAUACCAAAUCAAGUCCUUGGCCUACCCAUGUCCGAAUACGAUACAAACACGAAACAUGUGAGAACAAAAGAAAUUCUAGAAAAAGUGCAUCCAGCUGCUUUCAAUAACAUAAAAAAGAAUUAUACAAUCAGUUAUAGAUCACAGGUCCAUUUCACAAAUCAUAGCACACAAUCACGAGCCCCUAUACAGAAUCUCAGAUCUCACAAAUAGCAAAUCAAUAUGCACCUAAUUCCUACCUUCGUGACUACUUCAGACCGUGAAAAGAGAGAGAUGUUGCCUUCCUAGCCUCCAGACUGCAGACCGAGCAAGGAGUUUGCGCGCGACUGCAGGACUGGAGGAUUGGGGCUAACAAAUACGCUCAAGCAUUUGCUAUUUUGGGAGCGGUAGAGAGGGAGUGCAGAGAUGCAGGAGGGAGUCACGCACAGGACCAGGGAGCAGGGGGCAAGAAGAUGUGAGAUGGAGUGGGCGGCGGGUGUGAGGCGGAGAUGAAGACUGAAGGAGCGACGGAGCUAUUAGGUUUUCCUAUUUAUAUGUGGCAUUCUUACAUGGGCUUUGCUGGGCGGAUG